AUUGAACGCUGGCGGCAGGCUUAACACAUGCAAGUCGAGCGGGGUGAGGUGCUUCGGUACUGAUCCUAGCGGCGGACGGGUGAGUAAUGCUUAGGAAUCUGCCAUUUAGUGGGGGACAACAUUCCGAAAGGAAUGCUAAUACCGCAUACGUCCUACGGGAGAAAGCAGGGGAUCUUCGGACCUUGCGCUAAAUGAUGAGCCUAAGUCGGAUUAGCUAGUUGGUGGGGUAAAGGCCUACCAAGGCGACGAUCUGUAGCGGGUCUGAGAGGAUGAUCCGCCACACUGGGACUGAGACACGGCCCAGACUCCUACGGGAGGCAGCAGUGGGGAAUAUUGGACAAUGGGCGGAAGCCUGAUCCAGCCAUGCCGCGUGUGUGAAGGAGGCCUUUUGGUUGUAAAGCACUUUAAGCGAGGAGGAGGCUACCUGGAUUAAUACUCUGGGAUAGUGGACGUUACUCGCAGAAUAAGCACCGGCUAACUCUGUGCCAGCCGCCGCAGUAAUAC
rnacentral:rRNA from 1 species